ensembl:snoRNA small nucleolar RNA SNORA65
CCCGCCACUAUGCCUGUCUGACCCGGUGACUGAGUAUAAUCCAGUGGGGGCUCAGAUUGACCCGGCUUUAGGAAACAGAACCGUCCACACAAAUGGACUGCUCUGUGCCGAAAAGUCUGGAACAUCA